rnacentral:lncRNA from 1 species
UUUUUGCAAUGCUUCUCUAUGUGCUUCAGAAUUCAUAAGCAGAGACAACACUGAAAUUUUGGAAGGAGUUUGGAACAGCUGCUCCACCAUAUUAAAUUCACUUUUCUUUAUCAAGCUUAGUACCUCAUCAUCAUCAUUAGGCUUCAAAUUGCUGGAUUCACCAGACUGACACUUCAGAGCACUAAUCAGAUUUGCUGCAGGCACCUCAACCUUCUUACCAACAUCUUCUACAUCUUUUGGGAAAACAGGAUUAAAAACAC